rnacentral:rRNA from 1 species
AACGAACGCUGGCGGCAUGCCUAACACAUGCAAGUCGAACGAGACCUUCGGGUCUAGUGGCGCACGGGUGCGUAACGCGUGGGAACCUGCCCUUAGGUUCGGAAUAACUCCCCGAAAGGGGUGCUAAUACCGGAUAAUGUCUUCGGACCAAAGAUUUAUCGCCUGUGGAUGGGCCCGCGUUGGAUUAGCUAGUUGGUAGGGUAAAAGCCUACCAAGGCGACGAUCCAUAGCUGGUCUGAGAGGAUGAUCAGCCACAAUGGGACUGAGACACGGCCCAGACUCCUACGGGAGGCAGCAGUUGGGAAUAUUGGACAAUGGGCGAAAGCCUGAUCCAGCAAUGCCGCGUGAGUGAUGAAGGCCUUAGGGUUGUAAAGCUCUUUUACCCGGGAUGAUAAUGACAGUACCGGGAGAAUAAGCACCGGCUAACUCCGUG